rnacentral:rRNA from 1 species
AUUGAACGCUGGCGGCAUGCUUUACUCAUGCAAGUCGAACGGUAACAGGCCGCAAGGUGCUGACGAGUGGCGAACGGGUGAGUAAUGCAUCGGAACGUGCCCAGUCGUGGGGGAUAACGCAGCGAAAGCUGCGCUAAUACCGCAUACGAUCUCUGGAUGAAAGCGGGGGACCGAAAGGCCUCGCGCGAUUGGAGCGGCCGAUGUCAGAUUAGGUAGUUGGUGGGGUAAAGGCCCACCAAGCCAACGAUCUGUAGCUGGUCUGAGAGGACGACCAGCCACACUGAGACUGAGACACGGCCCAGACUCCUACGGGAGGCAGCGGUGGGGAAUUUUGGACAAUGGGCGCAAGCCUGAUCCAGCAAUGCCGCGUGCAGGAAGAAGGCCUUCGGGUUGUAAACUGCUUUUGUACGGAACGAAACGGUCCGGGUUAAUACCCUAGGCUAAUGACGGUACCGUAAGAAUAAGCACCGGCUAACUACGUGCCAGCAGCCGCCGUAAAAC